rnacentral:rRNA from 2 species
UCCGGGAAACCGGAGCUAAUACCGGAUAGUUCCUUGAACCGCAUGGUUCAAGGAUGAAAGACGGUUUCGGCUGUCACUUACAGAUGGACCCGCGGCGCAUUAGCUAGUUGGUGAGGUAACGGCUCACCAAGGCGACGAUGCGUAGCCGACCUGAGAGGGUGAUCGGCCACACUGGGACUGAGACACGGCCCAGACUCCUACGGGAGGCAGCAGUAGGGAAUCUUCCGCAAUGGACGAAAGUCUGACGGAGCAACGCCGCGUGAGUGAUGAAGGUUUUCGGAUCGUAAAGCUCUGUUGUUAGGGAAGAACAAGUGCAAGAGUAACUGCUUGCACCUUGACGGUACCUAACCAGAAAGCCACGGCUAACUACGUGCCAGCAGCCGCGGUAAUACGUAGGUGGCAAGCGUUGUCCGGAAUUAUUGGGCGUAAAGGGCUCGCAGGCGGUUUCUUAAGUCUGAUGUGAAAGCCCCCGGCUCAACCGGGGAGGGUCAUUGGAAACUGGGAAACUUGAGUGCAGAAGAGGAGAGUGGAAUUCCACGUGUAGCGGUGAAAUGCGUAGAGAUGUGGAGGAACACCAGUGGCGAAGGCGACUCUCUGGUCUGUAACUGACGCUGAGGAGCGAAAGCGUGGGGAGCGAACAGGAUUAGAUACCCUGGUAGUCCACGCCGUAAACGAUGAGUGCUAAGUGUUAGGGGGUUUCCGCCCCUUAGUGCUGCAGCUAACGCAUUAAGCACUCCGCCUGGGGAGUACGGUCGCAAGACUGAAACUCAAAGGAAUUGACGGGGGCCCGCACAAGCGGUGGAGCAUGUGGUUUAAUUCGAAGCAACGCGAAGAACCUUACCAGGUCUUGACAUCCUCUGACAACCCUAGAGAUAGGGCUUUCCCUUCGGGGACAGAGUGACAGGUGGUGCAUGGUUGUCGUCAGCUCGUGUCGUGAGAUGUUGGGUUAAGUCCCGCAACGAGCGCAACCCUUGAUCUUAGUUGCCAGCAUUCAGUUGGGCACUCUAAGGUGACUGCCGGUGACAAACCGGAGGAAGGUGGGGAUGACGUCAAAUCAUCAUGCCCCUUAUGACCUGGGCUACACACGUGCUACAAUGGACAGAACAAAGGGCUGCGAGACCGCAAGGUUUAGCCAAUCCCACAAAUCUGUUCUCAGUUCGGAUCGCAGUCUGCAAC